GCCUCUGUGGUGUAGUGGUAGAGCACGCGCCCGCGGCGUGGAUGAAAAGCGGGUUCGAUUCCCGCCUGAGGCC